rnacentral:rRNA from 1 species
GGAGGGGGCUAGCGUUGUUCGGAUUUACUGGGCGUAAAGGGCGCGUAGGCGGUAUGCCAUGUCAGGGGUGAAAGGCCUGGGCUCAACCCAGGAACUGCCUUUGAAACUGGCAAACUAGAGUCCGAUAGAGGAUGGCGGAAUUCCCAGUGUAGAGGUGAAAUUCGUAGAUAUUGGGAAGAACACCAGUGGCGAAGGCGGCCAUCUGGAUCGGCACUGACGCUGAGGCGCGAAAGCGUGGGGAGCAAACAGGGAUUAGAUACCCUGGUAGUCCACGCCGUAAACGAUGUGUGCUAGACGUUGGGGGCCCUUAGGCCCCUGGGUGUCGCAGCUAACGCGUUAAGCACACCGCCUGGGGAGUACGGCCGCAAGGUUA